rnacentral:tRNA from 1 species
CGGAGCGUAGCGCAGUCUGGUAGCGCACUUGCCUGGGGGGCAAGGGGUCGUGGGUUCAAAUCCCGCCGCUCCGACCA